rnacentral:rRNA from 1 species
GAUGAACGCUGGCGGCGUGCCUAAUACAUGCAAGUCGAGCGAACGGACGAGAAGCUUGCUUCUCUGAUGUUAGCGGCGGACGGGUGAGUAACACGUGGAUAACCUACCUAUAAGACUGGGAUAACUUCGGGAAACCGUAGCUAAUACCGGAUAAUAUUUUGAACCGCAUGGUUCAAAAGUGAAAGACGGUCUUGCUGUCACUUAUAGAUGGAUCCGCGCUGCAUUAGCUAGUUGGUAAGGCAAAGGCUUACCAAGGCAACGAUGCAUAGCCGACCUGAGAGGGUGAUCGGCCACACUGGAACUGAGACACGGUCCAGACUCCUACGGGAGGCAGCAGUAGGGAAUCUUCCGCAAUGGGCGAAAGCCUGACGGAGCAACGCCGCGUGAGUGAUGAAGGUCUUCGGAUCGUAAAACUCUGUUAUUAGGGAAGAACAUAUGUGUAAGUAACUGUGCACAUCUUGACGGUACCUAAUCAGAAAGCCACGGCUAACUACGUG